rnacentral:rRNA from 1 species
GUCUUUUUGUUAAUAAUUUAAAGUCGAAUCUGCCCACUGAUUAAUAAUUAAAGGGCUGCAGUAUAUUGACUGUACAAAGGUAGCAUAAUAAUUAGUCUUUUAAUUGAAGACUUGUAUGAAAGAUUUGAUGAGAUAUAAACUGUCUCUUUUUUAAAAUUAGAAUUUAAUUUUUUAGUAAAAAAGCUAAAAUUAUUUUAAAAGACGAGAAGACCCUAUAGAGUUUUAUAAUUAAAUUAAUUAAAAAUUUAUUUAAAAAUUAAAAAAUAAUUAAUUUUAAUUAUUUUAUUGGGGUGAUAAAAAAAUUAAAAUAACUUUUUUUUAAUUUAAACAUUAAUUGAUGAAUAAUUGAUCCAUUUUUUAUGAUUAUAAGAAAAAAUUACCUUAGGGAUAACAGCGUAAUUUUUUUUUUUAGUUCUUAUAAGAAAAAAAGUUUGCGACCUCGAUGUUGGAUUAAGAUAAAAUUUAAAUGCAGAAGUUUAAAAUUU